rnacentral:lncRNA from 1 species
UUUCAUUUUAUUUGUCAGAUUUUAGAAAGCAGCUUAUUGUAACACAUAUAAAGAAAAAAUACAUGCUUAAACAUUGGAAGCACUUAAUUUUAAAAGUGCGUGUAUGCUUACUCUUUUUGGCAUUAUCCUGUACAUAAAUAUCAACCACAUGAAAACAGUUUUAAAAUAGUAUUCUUUUUUAACAUCUAAGCUUACAGCAUGCACAAUGCAGUAAAAUUAGUCAUGUUAGCAUGAGAUCCAUCUUACUAAAUACCAAGUUUCAUUUAAGAGUAAUGGUAUGAGGAACAUGAAAUUAGGUUGUUAUAAGGGGAGCUUAUAUAAACUCUCUUCAGCAGGGGAAAAAAAUACAACAUAGACAUGAACUAUGGAUCAAAAAAUUCCGCAUUAUUUAGAAGAGUGUGCUUCUUUCCUGAGGCAGAAACUGCACUUUAUCUUAUCUUCAAAAAGCUUACUUUGUAUUUGUUUUUGGUUCAUCUCCCUAACAAGUGCUCUGUUUGCUUCUAUACUGUUACUCCAUUUACCUAAUUUGAAAAUAGUUUCCCUUUUCAACACGAGUGCUGUUGUAGUAACUCACUUCAAAAAUCAGAGAGAGAGGACAUCAGCAGUCCACUUUCCUCUGUGAAGGAGAAAUGAACCUGUUAAAGACUCAGGACACUGUGAAAAACGAACCUUUACUGAUAGUUAUGAGAGCCAGAAGAGGAGGGGAAGACUUCCUUUACAAUAUGGAAGCCGGCGGCUGUGAAUUAGGCCAUAGGACUCAUUUUUUUGUCAACCACAUAUUGUUGAAAGUGGAAGUCUUGGGGAUGAAGCCAAAACUUUACUUCUUCAAUGCUCAAGCUGCCACAGUAAUUGAACAGUCAAAGCCCUCAUUUUGUAGGUCAACAGUAUGUGGUGAUCAAAGAGGGAUCCAAAAAGGAUAAAUCCCUAAGGAGCUAACCCCACAAGUGAGUGAAGUACCCACUUAACUCCUUUGUACUCUCCGCUUUUGUGAGUUGUCUUUCCUUUAGAGUUUGGUAAGUCUCCU